rnacentral:rRNA from 1 species
CGGUCCAGACUCCUACGGGAGGCAGCAGUGGGGAAUAUUGCACAAUGGGCGCAAGCCUGAUGCAGCCAUGCCGCGUGUGUGAAGAAGGCCUUCGGGUUGUAAAGCACUUUCAGCGGGGAGGAAGGCGGUGAGGUUAAUAACCUCACCGAUUGACGUUACCCGCAGAAGAAGCACCGGCUAACUCCGUGCCAGCAGCCGCGGUAAUACGGAGGGUGCAAGCGUUAAUCGGAAUUACUGGGCGUAAAGCGCACGCAGGCGGUCUGUCAAGUCGGAUGUGAAAUCCCCGGGCU